AGAUUCGAAUCUGUAUUGCAACUAUACUGGACUGAACUGCUUGUCUAUUUAUGAAGCUGAAAACAAUUUGAAUUCGGUGAAAGACAAAUUGUAUCAGUGCGCGCCGUCGUGUGUUGAAAGCGAAAUCAAUGUAAUUCAUCAAUCAGGACGGUGGGUUGCCGAAGACGAGGGAAAAGGUGUUUCCGUUGUAGUUAAAAUGUCGUCGUUACCCGCACUUAGGUACCAUAGAAGCUUAACGAGGAGUCGACUAGAAAUAGUAGUAUCUAUUGGUGGGAUCGUCGGACUCUUCUUCAGCGCAUCGAUCCUAAGCGUAGUGGAACUAUUGUACUUAUUGUUGCGCACACCGAACAAGUAAUAAUAAUAUUUUUACAAAUUAAAUAAUGAUAUAUUUUAA